GGGCGCAUGGUUUAGUGGUAUAACACUCCCUUAGCACAGCUGCUUAGUCAGCAGCAUUGGGAGAGGUCUAGGGUUCGAUUCCCUAUGUGUCCA